ensembl:misc_RNA 7SK 7SK RNA
GGAUAUGAGGGCGAUCUGGCUGCGACAUCUGUCAUCCCAUUGAUCGCCAGGGUUGAUUCGGCUGAUCUGGCUGGCUAGGCGGGUGUCCCCUUCCUCCCUCACUGCUUCAUGUGCGUCCCUCCCAAAGAUGCAGACAGCCUUCCCUGAAUAGAGACAAACCGGUCUUCAGUCGAGGGUAUACGAGUAGCUGCGCUCCCCUGCUAGAACCUCCAAACAAGCUCUCAAGAGAGUGACUAAAGGAUAGGUAAAGGAAUUAUUGGGUUGUUGGAAAAGCCACGGGUACAUAUAUUUUUUAUGUUUUUCUUUACAAAAAAAUGUGUCAUAUCUUUUCUGAAAAUGUUU